UCCAUGGCAACAGCUUGUCCUGCUGCGCACAAAGGAUCCUGGCUAAUUACGCAGCCAAAGGUCAAGUUGUCAGGGUGAGGCCUCUUAGCCAAGGACACCUCUCAGAACAAGGCUAGCCUGCCUCAUUCUCUCUCCUUCUUUCCCACACAUCAGGAUUAGGGAAUGGAAAUGGUUGUUGUUCAAGAGAGCUUGGUGAUGAAGAGGAUGAAGAGCACAGAACCUUUAGUGAAGCUGCCCAGGUGCAAAUCCUGGCCAGAUCUUCCCAGCUCACCAACCUUAAGAAACAAAAGCAUUCAAGGCUGAAUGACGGGACUGCUUCCUGGGCUCUUCUCUGCAAGACAGUAACACAGUCCAGAUACUCACUUUCAAGCUGCUUCCCCAGCUCUUCUUGAAUAAGGCGACGCAGGGUUUCCAUGGACGGAGACUCCCCCUAGGAGGGAGGGAAGGUGGAGUUAUUUAUCUUCCCAGGAACUUCUGCCAUUUCAGAACCCUGAGGACUUGGGAAGCCAGGAAGUUCUUAGGAAGUAUAUACCUACACAGGGACACACAUCUUCCUAGCCCUAUCUUUUCCACGUCUCUAAUCCCUUCCUGCCUUCACUGUUAUACUGGCAGCAUCAUCCCCUUUACACAGCAGCCCAGGCCCUGGGCCCUCUCAGCCACUGCUGCCCUUCCUUCCAUACCUUUCCAGCUUAUUCACUGGAUUUCCUUCCUGCUCAGGCCACUGUGCCAUUAAUUCCACCCACACACCCUUCUUAGUCCUGAACCUGGGAGGUCUGGUCCCUAAUCUCUCCCUGCCAAAGCUGUGUCCACCUUUUGGACACAGCCUAUAGGCUGCCUUCGAUGUGAACUCAAGUUUGAUUCCCUCGCCUGGCCACCUGGCCGUUCUGGUUCCUGUGGUCUGGUUUUCCCUGUUUAUGUUGACUGUGGCUCUAAACAACUUUCUGACCAAAUCCUGGUGCUCAGUCUACAGAAGCUGAUGAGUUUACCAAUCCAAUUCUGAUGAGAACCUGGAGGAGCUGCCCACAGGCUCUCAGAGCUGGUCCCUUCCUGUCUGAUGGUUCCAGGGCAGUGUCUACCCUUCAAGGGCAGGGGUCUUACUAUAGCCCCACACCUGGCAUGAGAUAGAUUCCAUUUCCUUAUUCUUUUUUUCUGACCAAGAAUCUUUUAUGAUAGUCCCUGAAUUCUCAUCACUGCCCAAUAGCAGCAGGACUGGCAGUACCUGGCAAGGCUCCAAGAGGGCUUUGGAAGCCAACUGAGUGUUCUAGGCUGGCACUCAGGGCUCUGGGUGCCUGGCAUCUUUCAGGGCAGCUGAAACCCAGGCUGACCACAGCUACCAGGAACUGACGCAACUGCAGAGCAUCAGAACUGGCAGUGACGUGGAGGUCAUCCAGACCUGUGCUCUGUGGAAUACAAGGGUCUCCAGAAGACCACAAGGGCCACUGAGCAGGAGGGAGUGGUCACAUGGACUUCCAACAAGGGAGCUCUGCAUUUAUCUUUUUAUAGCCCAUGUAUGCCUGUGUCACGAGAUUGUGUAAAAUGAAAGUUCUGCCACUAGAAUAAAGGAUGUUUAAAGAAAGAAAAAACACCACUCCAAAUAAGCCCUUGUUUCCAGCUUUGGAAAAACAGAUGCAGCCUGCGCGCGG